rnacentral:rRNA from 1 species
GACGUAGGGCGCGAGCGUUGUCCGGAUUUAUUGGGUGUAAAGAGCUCGUAGGCGGCUUGUCGCGUCUGCUGUGAAAACUCGGGGCUUAACUCCGGGCCUGCAGUGGGUACGGGCAGACUAGAGUGCGGUAGGGGAGACUGGAAUUCCUGGUGUAGCGGUGAAAUGCGCAGAUAUCAGGAAGAACACCCGUGGCGAAGGCGGCUCUCUGGGACGGUACUGACGCUGAGACGCGAAAGCGUGGGUAGCAAACAGG